GGCCGGCAUGGAAGCGUUGGCCGUAAGCUAAAUUUUUCGGCUGUGCAUAGCGGGAUCGGCUUUAAUGUGUGGGAAUGCUGGACUGUGGCCAGAAAAGACUGAGCCAACAUUGGGUAAAACAGCACAGAUAGUUAGCUCAAGAAAGAGGAGUAAAUUAUCUGAUGCUUUUAAGAAAAACACUGGCCUAAGACACCAUCCUGAUAUUCGUGCAGAAGUCUACAGAAGUUUGCAAAGAAACUUAUGGUGAUUGUUUGCUAUGAGGUCAGAAUGAUUUAUCCUACCAGAAAGGAAAAUUAAAAUACCAAUAAAGCUCUCAUUUAUUUGGAAAAAAAUGCUACAAAAAGC